GAUGAACGCUGGCGGCGUGCCUAAUACAUGCAAGUCGAGCGAACGGACGAGAAGCUUGCUUCUCUGAUGUUAGCGGCGGACGGGUGAGUAACACGUGGAUAACCUACCUAUAAGACUGGGAUAACUUCGGAAAACCGGAGCUAAUACCGGAUAAUAUUUUGAACCGCAUGGUUCAAAAGUGAAAGACGGUCUUGCUGUCACUUAUAGAUGGAUCCGCGCUGCAUUAGCUAGUUGGUAAGGUAACGGCUUACCAAGGCAACGAUGCAUAGCCGACCUGAGAGGGUGAUCGGCCACACUGGAACUGAGACACGGUCCAGACUCCUACGGGAUGCAGCAGUAGGGAAUCUUCCGCAAUGGGCGAAAGCCUGACGGAGCAACGCCGCGUGAGUGAUGAAGGUCUUCGGAUCGUAAAACUCUGUUAUUAGGGAAGAACAUAUGUGUAAGUAACUGUGCACAUCUUGACGGUACCUAAUCAGAAAGCCACGGCUAACUACGUG
rnacentral:rRNA from 1 species